rnacentral:rRNA from 1 species
UACAGAGGGUGCGAGCGUUAAUCGGAAUUACUGGGCGUAAAGCGCACGUAGGUGGCGACGUAAGUCGGGUGUGAAAGCCCCGGGCUUAACUUGGGAAUUGCGCUCGAAACUACGUGGCUGGAGUGUGGCAGAGGAAGGUGGAAUUCCAGGUGUAGCGGUGAAAUGCGUAGAGAUCUGGAGGAACACCGAUGGCGAAGGCAGCCUUCUGGGCCAACACUGACGCUCAGGCACGAAAGCGUGGGGAGCAAACAGG